rnacentral:lncRNA from 1 species
UUUGUGUUUGAUUUGCUUUAAUGUUGAUAUUAGAAAUUGAUGAAAAUGCAGUAUAAUAUUUUGUUUGUUGAAAGAGAUUCUAAGGAUUGUAUGGAAGCCGAUUGUUCCUUGGGGAGGACUUUGAUCAAAAUUUUUUAUGCAAAACAAUAAGCUGUUUUCCAAUUGAAAAUUUCCUUUUCAGUGGUUUUGAGCAAUAUAAAGAUAUUUUAUGAACUUUUGAAAGUUUGGUUCAACCAUAUUUUGCACAUUAAAUAUAUAAAUAUUGGGCUAGUAUUCCAAAGGUUGUAGGUUCUAUUCCCACCGUGGCCGGGCAUAUUUUUCAAGCUCGCUCACCCGGUGUGGAUAUACACUCAGAGUAACAUCACAAACAUCAUAUUCACCUGAGUACACAACACCAACACAGAAAAAAUCCUAUAAAUAUUAUAAAAAAGGACAACUUUUCCCUACGUGAAAUUUAGAAUUAGGAGCAUAGAUAUCUUAUAUACACUAUAAUAGAUAUCUUAUAUACACUAUAUAGCGCAUCUUCUUUAGUAAAAUUGAAGCCAAGAAUAUUCCAGCGGUUACCCCCAUUUGAAUAGAUGGCGGCCAUGUUGGUGUUUCCCACUCGCUAAUAAACGCUUAAAAAACAACAAUAACUUUCAUCAUUUGAAUAGUUUAAAAAUGUAUUUGGGUUAGGUUUAACUUAAUGUUUAACUUCCCUGUUUAAGACAUAGAAAACAUACGAAUCUUCUCAUUUCAUAGGGAUACUCUGAGCCUGCAAUCACGGCCACUGAACUGUAUAUAUGACCACUGAACUGUAUAUAGUUCACUGAUCACAGCUUCAAUUUUUGAAUUGCAGAAUAAUUAGAUGCACUAUCUAGUGUAUAUAAGAUAUCUAUGGUUAGGAGGAUCAAUGUGUAUCAUUUUAUUGUAUUUAUCAAGGACGAGAAAUGUACCAUUUUCUUAAGCAAAGCAAAUUGAAAGAUCAAAGCAAAUUGUUGUUUUUUUUAAAGAUCAAUCAGAAUUGGAGAAAUAAUAACAUUCUUUUAAAAUUUUAUUGAACUGCAUUUUCAUCACUUGAAUUAAUAUUAACAUUAUAUAUAAUCAAUUCAAAGUUGUCAGGUUAAAAACGAUGCUCAAAGAUAUAUGGCUCCGAAAGACAGCGGGAUAAUUUCAAAUUCUUAAAUUCUUGAUUUGGCACUUGAAAGAAAUUUAUAUAUGUUCAAUUGAGUAUGGAACCAAUGAUCUAAUGUUUCGAUGUUUAAAAAUAUCAUUUCUAAGUUUAAUGAAGUAUGCUGUCAAUGCAUAGUCAAAAUGUUAAGGCACUUUGAGGGAAUUAAUUUUCUUCCGGCAACGGAAUUUGUUGUUGUGAACGACAAUGUCUUGCCAACCACUUGACAACUGAUCUCGCAUUACAAUGGACUUCACUUAGCAUCUAAACAUCGCGAUAAAAUCAUUAUUUUCCAUACUCAAGCGAGUGGUCACUUUACCAAAAACAGUUAGUUGUAUUCAAAAAAUUAAAAGCAUGCUCGAGUUACUUUGUCUUUGAGUCAUAUAUUUUCUUUGUAAAACAACCUGGUGUUACGCUUUCCAUUUCUCCGCCACUCGUAAAAUUUAUCAUUAGAGUUGUUUUACAAUAUUUAUUUUGAAGUAUAAACAUUUAUCUUGAAAAGACCAGGUUCUCUUGUUUCCUCAAGAAUUAACUUUUUUAAUGUUAAUUCGCGGGCAAACAAGUUUUUAAUGUUGUGUUUUCACUUGUGCUUAUUCACUUGUGUUGAACACAAUGUUAAUUGUUCUCUUUGUGCCAUGUUCUGUUUUCUUCUAUUGUUAUUUAAAUAAGUACAGUAUGCAGUGGUUGUUCUCUUUUAUUGUUAUUCAAAUUGUAAAAUUACAAGUUCUUUUCAAUAAAUUGUUCAUUAAUUAUACAAGAGACUCCUUUUUAAUUCAAAAUUCAAUUCCCAUGGGAAUUGAAAAAAAAAUAAAAAAAAUCCCUCUACCCCGGCCGGCUCCCCAAGUGCUACCUCUACUUCAAGCAGAAGUAAAAGUACUUCUACUUAAAGUAGAGGUAGCACUCGGAGAGCCAGCCGGGGUAGCGGGGCGAAGAGAAGACCAACCUUGCAAAUGCUAAUGCAAAUUGCUAAGUUGAUCUUCUCUUGAGAGCAGCCACGCGCAUACCUAUAGUAAAUGUAAACAACAAGCGUUAGUAACAAAUACUCGACAUGCAAAUUUUGAAUCCCAUGGCCGAAAUGACAAGUGCCCCCCACUGAUUCCUACCAGCUGCCUACCUGCCUCAAUCCUAAGCUGUCUGCCUCGUCCUAAGCUGUCUGCCUUGUUCCUAAGCUACCUGCAUUCUAUUCGUAACUUCCGCUUUCCUCACCAUCACACAGACACUCACAACUGCCCAACCUGCCACCUGCCCGAACUGCCCACCCUUAAAACUGAAGGUAUUAAAAUUUUGGUAAAGUAUAU